CUCUACUGGAGUUUCCUGAGUGAGUCCACGACACGGGUAAGCCUCCUAUUUAUUCUCUUUUGCCUUGCUGUGCCUAACUCUCUUGCUUAUUUCAUUAUUAUAACAUCUUAAUAUUAUUUGGUUAUAUAACAUUCCUUUAUAUAAUUUUCAUUGAUUAUACACUUGGCAAGUCAGGCAGGCAAGCCGAAUAUACUGAAACUUACACUAUGUCCUUUCUUUGGAAUUUCUGUAAAUGGUUCAAGGGGGAGAACACUACCCCCCUGGAUAAAAUAAUUCCAGGGCAGAUCCCAGGAUUUGCGGGAUCCCCUUAUUAUGAAUUGGCAACUAUCAUUGAAAAAUGGGGUCCCCUACAUGUUGUGGGAAACAUUUCCCCAUAUCGCCUAGCGGAUUACUUUCAGGGACUAGGCAAAGAUAUAUUAGUCACUAGAGAAAGACAAUUAGCUGCUUCUAUAGUGGCAUGGCUGCUAUUAAAUGCUUUAAACAAUGCCGAAAUAAGGAAUAAUACUUUAGUGAACGAAAAUGAACUUUUAAAAGAUCAUAUUGAGAAGUUAGAACAGGAACUUGGGAUAUUAACAGGAAAAAAACCAAUUCUACGUCUUCCAAUAGGUCAAGUUCGUAGUAUUUCAACAAACAAUGACCAGGCUACUGAAUCAACAGACUGUGUUGAUCAGGAAAAUAAACCAUCUAAAUCGGAUCUUGAAUCUCCAAUUUUGAUGGACGCACUAGAAGUCCGUCCUGUUAUAACUCAAAAAACGAAAAAGGUACAGGACAGACUGGCAGGGGUGCCGCCUGAUCAGUGGCCCCCCACUCAAACCCAUUUGCAUGUAACAGCCCAGUUAUACAUGGCAACAGAACUGAUGGAUUUAGUCCAAAGAUUCAGGCAGAAACCUAGAGAAAGUGUGCCGGCUUGGUUAUUAAGACUAUGGGAUUCUGGGGCAGAAAGUGUUCUAGUGAAUGGCCCGGAAAUAGCCAAAUUGGCCACAAUGACCUUCCAUCCUGCUCUUAGACAGAGAUUAUAUGCAGGUAAUCAAUAUAAUGAUGAAAACCAUUCUAUAAUAGAAUGGUUAAUGGCGGCCUGCCGUAUGGUAUGGCCCAAUAAAUCUGAUAUUUCUUUACAUACAGGGAUGUGGUCCUCCAUGGAGGACCUUCAAAAUUACAUCUGUGAGCUAGGUGUAAGGGAAGCGAUUUAUGAAGAUACCUUUGAUGGCCCGGAUCUGGUCAAAUUCUCAGCGGGGUUGAGAGACCUAAUUUUACAACAAGCUCCCUCCCAUCUGUAUGGCACUCUGGUCUCUACAUUAAAUCCCCUAGUGGCCUCAAGCAGUUGUCCAGCAGGCUGCGCAGUUAGUGGCUGAUCUAGGAGAAACAGAACGCCUGCGGAAUAGGCGCAACAUUCGGACACUAGAAGAAGCUGAGGUCUUGCCGGUGACUAAAACCAAAAUGCCGGCUACUCGAGCUCCUCAGUCGGAACCCAUAAGGGUC
rnacentral:lncRNA from 1 species